CAAUAGGGAUUAGAACAGAAAAUAAACCAAACCCAAUUUUAUUUGUUUCCAAAGCCUUAAACGACGCUGCUUUAUCAGUUAUUAAGGCUAAAAAAAACCUAGAAAAUGUUGUCUGCCAUUUUUAAAGAACAGACCCAUCAUUUUAUUAGGGUUUCGACAUCCCCAUGCCCCAAAUGGCCGCCGCAAUGCCAACCCUCCAAAGGCCAACUUUGAUGACGGAGGGAGAGUUGCUGACGAUGGAGGAGCGAGUCAACUCAGGUACGGAGGCAACGUGGUGGGGGUAGCUGACGCGUACAGAGGCUGCUGGUGGUGUCGACGUGGAGGCGCGAGCCAUGGUAGUGCUGGAGGCUACUGCGGCACUGAGCGAAUGGGGCUAGGGUUAGGGCCAUUGUAUUUGGGCCGUGUAAUUGGAUUUUGGAACUGGACCCGGACUAUUGAUUGGUUUUUAUUUUUAUGGGUUUUAGAUUUAUUUUGGUAUUUUGGCUUUGACAUGGGCCCGGGCAAAUUGACCCGUUUACAUUAUUUAUUCAAAUCUUAUAUUUAAUAUAAAUAUUUAUAUUUGUUGACUAA